GACGAACGCUGGCGGCGUGCUUAACACAUGCAAGUCGAACGGUGACGAUCAAGCUUGCUUGGUCUGAUCAGUGGCGACCGGGUGAGUAACACGUGAGUCACCUGCCCCUGACUCUGGAAUAACCCCGGGAAACCGGAGCUAAUACCGGAUACGACACCCGCCCGCAUGGGCAACGUGUGGAAAGUUUUUCGGUCUGGGAUGGACUCGCGGCCUAUCAGCUUGUUGGUGAGGUAGUGGCGCACCAAGGCGACGACGGGUAGCCGGCCUAAGGGGGCGACCGGCCACACUGGGGCUGAGACACGGCCCAGACUCCUACGGGAGGCAGCAGUGGGGAAUAUUGCACAAUGGGCGAAAGCCUGAUGCAGCGACGCCGCGUGAGGGAUGACGGCCUUCGGGUUGUAAACCUCUUUCAGCAGGGAAGAAGCGCAAGUGACGGUACCUGCAGAAGAAGCACCGGCUAACUACGUGCCAGCCGCCGCGGUAAAAC
rnacentral:rRNA from 1 species